AUGGCGACGAACAAUGGAGACGUCUUGAUGCUAGAGGCAGCGCCGGAAGCUUCAAAGCCGUGGGCGAGCGCGGCGAACGCAGAAGUCAUCGACGCGCUUCCUUAUAUCGACGACGACUAUGGCAAUCCACUGAUUAAGGCGGAGGUCGACCGCUUGGUGGAGGAAGAGAUGCGUCGGAGCUCAAGGAAGCCUGCUGACUUUCUCAAGGAGUUGCCUCCUCUUCCCAAGUUCGAUUUCGAGAACUGCCCCGUUCUUGGCAAAGAGUAUGAGCGUGUUCGAGCUGGGAAGCCUCCAGUGCGGAUAGAUUUUGAGUCCCGGUACAAGGUUGAACUGCCGCCUGCGAGUAAGAAAAACGAUGAUGCUGCCUGGAAGCAGUAUCUUCAGAAGAAUCAACGGUCAUUGCAACAGAAGAUGAUCGAGCUUGAGAAUUUGGAAAUGAUGUCUAAGCAAGGCCCCGAGCUUUGGAGGCAGAACAACCAUCGGCUUGAAGUAUUCUUGACCAGAAUGCAAAAACUAGCUCAGGAGCAGAACGAAGAAAUUGAAAAAGUAAAUCGUGAAAGGAAGUAUCAUCAGCAAACCACUGCGUACGAGCUCAAUGCUCUAUCUCAAGAAUGGAGGCAGCUCUGUGUGAAGAAUAUGGAGAUUCAAUCUGCUUGUGUCGUGCUAGAGACAAAAAUCGAUGCGUUCAAAAAGGAAGCUGCUGAAAGAGGAUGGAACUUAGAAGAGAAACUAGAGAGUGUCAAGCCGCUUCAACCGCAGUGAGGCAACCGGAGCUGGGGUUGUUGGCCCCCGCUCUUUGCUUGCGUUUACUGAUAUGUUUAAGCAUAUCGUUUACGAUUUGUUAGUGAAAAUGAUGUUUGAAUGUUUGUUUAACAUAUAUUUUUCUUUAUAGUAUAAGAUUAUGAUUUGAUAAGAAACAUUUUUAGGUUAAUGAGUGUUUCUGUUUAUGCAAUGCCAUCAGUUUACAAAUUA